GCUGGCCAGAGCUGCAGGUGAAGGAAUCAGAGAAUGAAGGGGGUCUCUUACUGAACUAGGAGCUCAUGGAUUUGUCUGGACUUGCUGAGAAUCAAGUCCUGUCUCUGCCUGCCCAGUACUGGGAUGACAGAUGCACAUUGCUGAGUCAGGCUUUUUAUAAGACAAGUUUCCUUCUGUUUGUAUGGUGCCAACCUGUUCCUUCUUCCAACGUAAAGUUCCAAUUUCUUGAGGACUGUUGUUUCAAUAGUCAGAUGCCUGGCAAGUAUUUCUUUGAGAUAUCUUCACUC